GCACUGCUGAGGAGUCCCACAAUAGGAUGAAACGGUCGUCUAGUGA
rfam:Schistosoma haematobium scaffold385_14, whole genome shotgun sequence.